AUGAACGCUAGCGGCAGGCUUAAUACAUGCAAGGUUGAGGGGCAGCAUGAUAUACGCGAGUAUAUUGAUGGCGACCGGCGGACGGGUGAGUAAUAGGUAGGAGACCUACCUCAUACAGGGGGAUAGCAUAGAGAAAUCUGUGGUAAUACCCCAUGAGGUUAUAUGAAUAGAGGCAUAUAAUCAAAGCAUAAGCGAUUAUGCGGUAUGAGAGGGGCCUACUGACCAUUAGCUAGUUGGUGAGGUAAGGGCUCACCAAGGCGAAGAUGGUUAGGGGUUUUGAGAGAGAGACCCCCCACAUUGGAACUGAGAGACGGUCCAGACUCCUACGGGAGGCAGCAGUAGGGAAUAUUGGGCAAUGGGCGAAAGCCUGACCCAGCCAUGCCGCGUGAAGGAAGACGGCCUUAUGGGUUGUAAACUUCUUUACUACGCGAAUAGAGGUUAGUACGAGAUACUAAUAGGAAGGUAGUGUAGUAAAAAGCACCGGCUAACUCCGUG
rnacentral:rRNA from 1 species